rnacentral:rRNA from 1 species
CAGUAGCCACGGGAAUACAGAGGGUGCGAGCGUUAAUCGGAUUUACUGGGCGUAAAGCGUGCGUAGGCGGCUAAUUGAGUCGGAUGUGAAAUCCCCGAGCUUAACUUGGGAAUUGCAUUCGAUACUGGUUAGCUAGAGUGUGGGAGAGGAUGGUAGAAUUCCAGGUGUAGCGGUGAAAUGCGUAGAGAUCUGGAGGAAUACCGAUGGCGAAGGCAGCCAUCUGGCCUAACACUGACGCUGAGAGACGAAAGCUAGGGGAGCAAAUGGGAUUAGAUACCCCGGUAGUCCCUGUCUCUUAUAC